UACUAGGAUGGGUGACCUCCCGGGA
rnacentral:sRNA from 1 species